GCUACCAUCUGCCGGAUUAUGGCUGAACGCCUCUAAGUCAGAAUCCGUGCUAGAACGCGAUGAUUUACUACCUCGCCCAUUUUAGAUGGAUACGAAUAAGGCACUUUGUGUCGCUGCACCAUAUUUACUAUUAUUGUGCUCUUGCGGAAAGGCUUGGGUUCAUUUUAGUUUUCUUAAUUUCACUAUGAGCGAGGAUAAAUCCUUUGCAUACGACUUAACUGUACAACGGGGUAUUGUAAGCA
rnacentral:rRNA from 1 species